AUGGGAGUUAUAAGCAAAUGGGUUGAGCUGCCGCUGAAGGCACUAGAAGCAGAGGCCUUGGCAGUGCAGGAAGGUAUUUAUUUAGCUUGGGAUUUGGGAUUGAGGGAGAUUAUAAUUGAAGGGGACUCCCAAGUGGUUAUCAUGGCUUUGCAAAACCUUGUGACUUGUCCAUGGUCUAUUUAGAAAGUUGUUGAAGGAUCUAAGCUAAGCCUAAGGCCAUGUUUGGUUUAUCAAUUUUCAUCAUUCAAAACUCAAAAUUUGUGAGUCCCACUCCAAGAAAGUUAGUUUGGCUAAGUUUUUGUUUUCAAUUUCUAUCACUCAAAACUCAAAAUUUUGAGUUUGAGUUACAAAAUUGAAAACAGCUUUGAGAUGUGUUCAAGUUAAAAAAACUGAGUUAUUGUGGUAUUUUCGUAAAUAUUUGCAUAUACGUGGGACCCACCUCAUGAGUUGUCUCCAUCAAAGUCAGACCCCAACCCACGGAAUUUUUUUUCUAAAUAACAAUAAAUAUUAAAAUAUUUAGUUAGUUGUCACGUUGCAAAAGAAAAUUGAAAACUAGCAUAUCGAGUGUCUAAAACUCGAGUUCCAGGAUAAAAAUCAAGUUUUUAAGGCUAGACUUGUAAAAAAAAUCCAAGUAAAAAUCGAGUUUUAAAAACUCGAGUUCGGAAAACGCCGUUAUAGGGCUUAAAAACGUCACUAUAGGGCUUAAAAAUGGAGUUAUUAAAAAAAUUUAGCAGGAAAACGUCGCUAUAAGGCUUUAAAACGUCAGUAUAGGGCAUAAAAACGCCACUAUAGGGCUCCCUGAACCUGGUAUUGAACACUUAUGAAAAAAUUUUACAGGAAAACGCCGCUAUAGGGAUUUAAAACGUCACUAUAGGACUUAAAAACGCCACUAUAGGGGCGAUAAAACUAAAAAAUUUUUUGCAUGGAACUCGAGUUUCUGAAACUCGAGAUUUAUGUAAAUGAAUCUCGAUUUUUUAAAACUCGAGAUGUCUACUUUCCCUUAUAGUUUUAAGUGUUGCCUAACUAACUAUAUACAAAUCAUUUCUAAAGCUAUUCUGCACAUUCCCCCCAACUCACGGCGUCCUCUUUCUUUUUUUCUUCUCCUUAUUCCAACAUCACACUCUAAAACCACACCCACCCCAAAUGGCACUUUCUCAUUAAGUCACAACGCUCAUUACUCACCACCAGCGGACACCCAUCUCUCUUCUCUCACUACCACACCCCAACCCUACGCAUUCGGCGGAACUUGGAAGUACAUGAGCAUGGCUAUAGCUCCACCAUGGACUCGUCGAAGAGGAAAGCUAGGAGGGUUUUGUACGGCUCGCGAUUGCGGAUGUGGAGGAAGAAAGAUAGGGAGGUGCUGGUGAUUAGAAUUUUUUGUUGCCUAGGUAGCAGUAGAGGCCGUCGUAUCUGCCGUGGCCGAGGACAUCGGCGACGAAGAUGGCGAAGCCCUUGGUGGUGAAGUUGAUGCAGAUUUUCUGGGUUUGAUGAUUUGCUGGCACCUUAGGUUUGAUGAUUUUCUUGCAAAGUUGAUGCAGAUUCACUGGCACCCUAGGUUUGAUAGUUUUUGAUAAUUUUGUAUGAUAUUGUGAUACCCAUGAAUGUAACUUAGUUAUACGUGCUUAAACUUGGUGAAAGUUUGAGUUUUUUGUUGGUGGUUCUACAAUUUUUUGUUGUGAAAAUUUGUUAUUUGUGCUAUUUUGACUUGAUUUGUGAGAUCUCAUUUCUGGUAAAGAAGAAGAAAUAACUAAGGAAGAAGAAAGAAGGAAAAAAAAAAAAAGUGGGGAGAGAGAGUUCACGCGGGUAAGAAAAGGUGGAUUCUGAACAGUGGGCUCCACAUGUUGGAGUUAAAAGUUGAGUUUUGGUGAUGAAAUUUGAAUCUAAUUUUUUUGUCAAACAAAUUGGGAGUGAGAUAAGAGAGAAAUAGAGAAUUAGAUAUGAGAUAUAAGUUUUGAGUUUUGAGUUAUAAAAAUUGAAUUAUGAAAACUGAGUUUGAGUGAUGCUUCAAACCAAACAGGACCUAAGUUGCUUUAAGGCGUGGAUUGCAUCUCAUUGUGCAGGAAUGGAAAUGUUGAAGCUCAUUUGAUGGCUAGGAUGGCCAAAUCACUAUUGGAUUGUAAUAUAUGGGUAGAAGACACUCCAGCCAUUAUAGCUGACCAAGUACUCAAAGAUGUCACAAAUCUGUAUCAUGUUUCGGUCUAAUGAAAUAUAUCCAAGUUUUUUAUCAAAAAAAAAUCACCUGGGCUUUUAUGGAUACUUUUUUUUCCCUCCCACUUGCCACCAUUAUCAUCUUUUGAGAUGAUAACUCCGAGUACAAUUAGGCACAUAGCCUUACGGGAAAAACAACCAUUAUUUUUUUUUUCAUGAUGGCAUGUCAGAACUCAAAGCCUAGGCGCAGCUGUGCAAAAGGUUUUUUUUUUCAUCAAGUCCCCUACUUUGGCACUGUUACUGAAAGAAAGUUUGUGCAAAACACCCAACCCUUUAAGAAAAAUAUGCUGCUUCUCUCUAUGCUUAACGCACAAAGUUAUAGAAAAAGAUUAAAUUACGGAACAUAGAAAAAUCUGCAGUAACAAUGUCUUUCUUUUUUUUUUCUUACUUCAGUUUGACGGAGUCAGAACUUAAAAUUAGGAGACGGCGUUGUUAUUAGUUAUGUGCGGCUGCUCUAGCCUCUAGCUCUGUUAUUUAACAAUUAAGGUUUUAUUUAUUUAAUUAUUUAUAUUGUUUUGUUUUUUAUAUGUGCAUUUGCUACUGGGUAAGGACAAAAUUUUUUAAAGAGCUAAGUUGUUUGUUUUGGGUAAAAUUUGUUGAUUGAGCUUAAUUGUUUUUAAGCUAUUAUUGUUAUUUUAUUUUAUUUUAUUUUGUUUUUGUUGAGUUAAUUUUUUUAGGCUUGUAUAUUUUGUUUUAGAUUUUAGGUUUAUAAAUUUUUUUAUGCCCCUUAAAAUGAAGAAAAUGCUAGAGUUACAAAUGAGUUCAUAUGAAAACUAAUAAGAAUUUACUACUUCAACAGUUUGUAAAAAUAUUGUAGAAAAAUUUGUAACUAUAAUAUUAUUCUUAAAAGAAUCAAUUAUAUUGUUAAAGGGGCAAAGUAUAAUUUUAUAGAACAUAAUUACUAAAAUUUAUACCUAUAUAUAUAUAUAUACACUAAUAUUUUUUUACAAAACAAUUAGGGGAGCCGUUGCCCCCGUGGUCAAAGUCUCCCUCCAUCCUUCCCUUAUUCCACACGCACAAGGAAGAGAAGAAGACUUAGGGUCUGUUUGGUACAUUAUUUUAAACCAUGUUUUCAGUUUUUAAACAAUAUUACACGAAUUUCUACCAACUUUUUCAUUCACACAUAUUUUCAAAAAAACUGAAAACUGUUAUUUAAACACACGUACCAAAUGGGCUCUAAUUGAAUUGUUCUGUCUCUCUUUUCUCUCCUUUUGUCAAGGUCACGAGGGAGCUUGUCUCCCCCUCAACAGCAAAGAUACGUCAAUAAUUGAAAAAAAAAAUUUUUGGAACAGUCUAUAAACACUGGAAAGUCCAGGUUUUUGGUUCGAGUAAUAUUUAUUACGUACAUUGUAUUACAUAAAAAUAAAAAAUAAAUAAAUAAAUAAACAACCGAAACACUUUCUAUUGUUUUUUCAUGUGUAAACGUGUGAAAGAAUGUAAUAGCUUUUAUUAUGGCGAGAGAUUUCAAACAAACGUUCGGGAAAACACACACAUAAAAAGCAAUAACCGGCCAACGAAUUGAAAAUUUUGAUUCUCAAAAACCAGAAUCUUUGUACAAUAUAAUAUACAUGGGAAAAGAAGCAAUGACUCUUAUUGUUGUGGGUCAAAUCUCUAACAUUCACCAAACAUAAUUUACUAAAUUUUAAAGAACUCCCCCACCUACCAUGUGCGGCCCGUAGCCAUCUACAAACAAUGGUUUGAAUAUAUUGGGGUAUCAGUGUAUGUGUAUCCCCACAAAACCGCUCAAACAAGAAGCAUUGAACAAGUUAUGGGACUUGUUUGAAAAUAUUUGUGUAUCCCCACAAAACCGCUCAAACGAGAAGCAUUAAACAAGUUAUGGGACUUGUUCUAAAAUAUUUUAGGGAAAGGCUUGUGCCUAGUGAAGGUUAUCACUGGACACAUUGAAUUGCGGACAUGUGUUCAAGAGUGGACAUGUGUCCGCAAUUUAACAUGUCCACCGAUAACUUUCACUGGUAAGCAACCCAUAAAAGCAAUAAAUAAAAACAACGUAUGCAGGUUAGCCAGUUUAGGUGAAAUUUGCAGACCUGGGAAGGUAUAUAUGGCCAGUUGGAGUUGACCAGCUAAUCUAUAACUUCUUUGAUUACUAAAGUUUUCUGAGAAGAACUUUCAUAGGUUUUUUUUUUUCCUUAAAAUUAUUUUUCAAAAGUUGUGGGUAGCCUCUGUCUCAGAUAACUACCAAUUCAAAGUUGCGAACUGUUAGAAGAACAAGUUAUGGGAGUUGUUAGAAAGAAUAAUUUGUUGUUUGUGUUUAUCCUUUGUUGCAUUUGUUUAGAAUCUGAUUCUGCCACAGACACCAUCACAUCUUUUCAACCCAUUAGUGAUCCUGGCUAUAUAAUCUCCAAUGGGAGUUCUUUCAGACUGGGAUUCUUCAGCCCUGUAGAUUCCACCAGUCGCUACCUCGGAAUAUGGUAUAACAACAUUUCUGUGACCACUGUUGUAUGGGUAGCUAACAGAGAUAAACCCCUCCAAGAUUCUUCGGGGGUUCUUACUAUAUCUGCGGACGGACUUCUUGUGCUACUAAAUGGACAAAAAGAGGCGAUUUGGUCAGCCGAAGUUACAACCUCUGUUCCCAAUUCAAGUGCCCAGCUUUUAGAUACAGGGAACCUUGUCUUGAUAAAAAACACUACUAAGACAAUCAUAUGGCAGAGUUUCCAACUUCCUUGUGAUACACUCUUGCCCAAGAUGAAUAUCAGUACUAAUCUAACAACAGGCAACAAAGUCCAGUUGACGUCAUGGAAAAGCCUUUCUGAUCCAUCCAAUGGAAGCUUCUUGGUCGGUAUUCAACCUCUUGAUCUUCGUCAAGUAUUCAUUUGGAAAGAUGGUAGCUCAUAUUGGCGAAGUGGUCCAUGGAAUGGUCAGGUCUUCAUUGGGAUUCCAACUACAAAUAAUUCCGGAUUAAGUCUCGUUAAUGAUCAAGAAGGAACAGUUUCUUUGAGCUUUUCUGACGUGAACAAUUCUUUGUUACAUUUCCAACUCAAUACACAAGGAAGUAUGGAGCAAAGAUCUUGGGACCAUGUGAAGGGGGACUGGGAGGUCGUGUGGGCGACUUUGCAGAGUGAGUGUGAUGUUUAUGGUAAGUGUGGAUGGGUAGCUAACAGAGAUAAACCCCUCCAAGAUUCUUCGGGGGUUCUUACUAUAUCUGCGGACGGACUUCUUGUGCUACUAAAUGGACAAAAAGAGGCGAUUUGGUCAGCCGAAGUUACAACCUCUGUUCCCAAUUCAAGUGCCCAGCUUUUAGAUACAGGGAACCUUGUCUUGAUAAAAAACACUACUAAGACAAUCAUAUGGCAGAGUUUCCAACUUCCUUGUGAUACACUCUUGCCCAAGAUGAAUAUCAGUACUAAUCUAACAACAGGCAACAAAGUCCAGUUGACGUCAUGGAAAAGCCUUUCUGAUCCAUCCAAUGGAAGCUUCUUGGUCGGUAUUCAACCUCUUGAUCUUCGACAAGUAUUCAUUUGGAAAGAUGGUAGCUCAUAUUGGCGAAGUGGUCCAUGGAAUGGUCAGGUCUUCAUUGGGAUUCCAACUACAAAUAAUUCCGGAUUAAGUCUCGUUAAUGAUCAAGAAGGAACAGUUUCUUUGAGCUUUUCUGACGUGAACAAUUCUUUGUUACAUUUCCAACUCAAUACACAAGGAAGUAUGGAGCAAAGAUCUUGGGACCAUGUGAAGGGGGACUGGGAGGUCGUGUGGGCGACUUUGCAGAGUGAGUGUGAUGUUUAUGGUAAGUGUGGGGCAUUUGGAAUCUGUAAUUCACAGAGUUCUCCAAUUUGCAGCUGUUUAAAUGGGUUUGAGCCAAAUAACACAGAAGAAUGGAAUAGAGGAAAUUGGACUGGUGGAUGUGUGAGAAGCACACCACUGCAGUGUGAGAGGGUGGCCACCGGUGGUGAAGCCGGUAAAAUGGAUUGGUUUCAGACAAUGAAUAUGAUGAAAGUCCCAGACUUUGCAGAUUUUUCAUCUGAUAUUGAAGCUGAUUGCAAACAGCGGUGUUUACAGAAUUGUUCUUGUACAGCUUACGCAUUUGUUAGUGGCACAGGUUGUAUGUCAUGGACUGGAAGCUUAAUUGACGCACAGAAAUUCUCUAGCAGCGGAGUUGAUCUUAACGUUCGUGUUGCUAAUACCAAACUUGGUGAGUUGUUUUGUCUUCCAAGUUCAAUCCAUCCCCCAUAAUACCUCAGCUCCCCAAGCUUAUGAAAGCCUUGUAAAAUACAAUUUACUUGACCAUAGCAAGAAAAAGGACAUAUUUAGUAAACUAUUUUGUUUGAAUUAGUGUAGUACUUUUUCUGAUUUGCAGGAACAAAGCAAGACGUGAAAAAAAUUGUCACAAUCACUGUGAUAGUAGGAACGGUUUCCAGUUCAAUCUGCACUUACUUAUUGUGGAGGUGGAUGGCUAAACUUCAAGGUAAAUAUUCUGACUAAAAUAAGAAAAAACUUUUGCUAUACAUUAGAGAUUACUCAUGAAUGUAGUGUAAAUCAGCAAGGAAAAAGAAAGGAAAGGGGUUUUCGUUGUUCAACAAAGGGAAAUCACAUAUACCAUUUCCUAGUGACAACCUGAACCAAGCCGAAGUCCAGGAGCUACCACUAUUCACUUUUGAGAAGUUGGAGAGUGCAACAAACAACUUCCAUCUAUCUCACAAGCUUGGUCAGGGUGGAUUUGGUCCUGUAUACAGGGUAAUGACUGCUCUUCUAAAGGUUUAUUAUCUAAUUCCAGGAAUAUAUAUUUAAUAAUUUUAAAUUUUGUUUAUAGGGAAAACUGUCAGAUGGACAAGAAAUAGCAGUAAAAAGACUUUCCAGAACCUCUACACAAGGGUUAAAGGAAUUUAUGAAUGAGGUGGUGGUAAUUUCUAAACUCCAACAUCGGAAUCUUGUUAAGCUCCUUGGCUGUUGUGUCGAAGGAGAAGAGAGGAUGUUGAUAUAUGAAUACAUGCCAAACAAAAGUCUGGAUGCAUUUCUCUUCGGUUAGUUUGUUUUGACACAAAUUUUUAAUUACAAAAAUAUGUUCAACACUUUUUAAUUUUGUUGACAGAAAUUGAGUAUUGUUAGACAAUGGAACAAUAUUACUUGUUGCAAUACUUCACUUGAAACAAUUUUCUGACAACUACCACCAAAAUAAACUUUUUUGAAGUUUGUGUUCGUUCACAUUAUAGCUUUAAUCCUCAUUUUGUUUCUCUUGAUUCUUUUGUCUAAAUUCAUUAGAUCCACAUAAAGAAAAAUUGCUAGAUUGGAGCAAACGCUUCAACAUUAUUGAAGGAAUUGGUAGAGGUCUGCUCUACCUUCAUAGAGACUCUAGAUUGCGGAUUAUUCAAAGAGAUUUAAAAGCAAGUAACAUCUUGUUGGAUAAAGAUCUCAAUCCAAAAAUAUCAGAUUUUGGUAUGGCCAGGAUUUUUGGAAGUAAUGAAGACCAGGCCAAUACUAAUAGGGUCGUCGGAACUUAGUAAGUACUUUUUGGUUUGGUCAUUUCAAUUAGCUUUGAAUGCUAAUAUUAGAGAUGACAAGAUUUGAUGCGUUUUUCUGUUAAAAUUUAGUGGCUACAUGUCUCCGGAAUAUGCAAUGGAAGGGCGAUUUUCAGAGAAAUCAGAUGUCUUUAGUUUUGGAGUGUUGUUACUAGAGAUAGUCAGUGGAAGAAAAAAUACUAGCUUUUAUAAUGAUGAUCAAUUCCUAAACCUUUUAGGACUUGUAAGUAAUCUUAUUGCCUCAUUUCUUAAAAGCUCAACUGUCUUUUGUUCUUCAUUAUUUUUUGGUAUUCAUGGUAAUAAUUUCAAUCUCACAUUCAUUUUUCCAGGCAUGGCAAUUGUGGAAUGCAGACAACACUAUAG
rnacentral:sRNA from 1 species